UAUCACAAAUUUUAUUCAAACCUUGGUAUAAUCAAUCUUAUCUUCAACCUGAACCGGUAAAGGGAGCUUAUGCCUUAAAUGCUAAUAUUUUUCUUUCUGUCAUUGAAAGACAUACUAAAUAUAUGCUUACAAGUUUAUUAAGUAAUUACGAAACAAUAAGACACAGAAAAGUCAGUGAGAUUGUAACAUUAAUUGUUAUAAUUAACAAUGCGUAUUUUAUGCAACAGUUGGGCGAGAUAAAGGAAUUUGUAAAAAAAAAGCUCAAAAGUUCAAUCAUUUCAAUUACUGAUGUUGAACUGAAGAUAGGAACACGCUGGUCUGAGAUCGAAAAACAGACAAAAUAUUUUCGAUCCUUAUUCAAUAAUUGAAUAAUUAAAUCUUUAAAACAUUAACUGUUUAGAAAUUAA